rnacentral:rRNA from 1 species
GUGUCAGCAGCCGCGGUAAGACAGAGGUGCCGAGCGUUAGGCGGAAUCACUGGGCUUAAAGCGUGUGUAGGCGGACGGGUAAGUACCUUGUGAAAUCCCACGGCUCAACCGUGGAACUGCUGGGUAUACUGCCUGUCUUGAGUCAUCUAGGGGCGAGCGGAACAAAUGGUGGAGCGGUGAAAUGCGUAGAUAUCAUUUGGAACGCCAAUGGUGAAAACAGCUCGCUGGGGAUGUACUGACGCUGAGACACGAAAGCCAGGGGAGCAAACGGGAUUAGAUACCCCGAGUAGUCC